CGAAAAGGAGAAUAGGAGAGGGAAAUAGCAGUAAAGAACUUCGUCAUGGCUAUCAUCCAGAUUAACGCAAAGGUUCUUUGCUUGAUGGCUCUUUUGAUGAUCUCAACCUCCUUUUUGUCUAGCCAAGCAUCAGGGAGGAACAUAGGUAUUGAAGCCAACAUUGGCACUGUGCAGACACGCGAACCCUACAAGUUCAAAUGCACACCUGAAGAUUGUAAUCGUGCUUGCAAUAGAGAUUUUAAAGUUGGUGGGCAGUGCCAUAAUGAUGGUGGUUGCUAUUGCAACAAUUGACGCCCUACUAGCCGAUGCAGAAAUUUGAUAAAGUUAGGAAAUAAACGGAGAGAAUAAACAAUUGUCUUCCAUCCCUUUGAUAUAUAAGUUGUUCUUAUUAAUGGAUA